rnacentral:rRNA from 1 species
AUUGAACGCUGGCGGCAUGCUUUACACAUGCAAGUCGAACGGCAGCGCGGGCUUCGGCCUGGCGGCGAGUGGCGAACGGGUGAGUAAUGCAUCGGAACGUGCCCAGUAGUGGGGGAUAGCCCGGCGAAAGCCGGAUUAAUACCGCAUACGACCUGAGGGUGAAAGCGGGGGACCGAAAGGCCUCGCGCUAUUGGGGCGGCCGAUGUCGGAUUAGCUAGUUGGUGGGGUAAAGGCUUACCAAGGCGACGAUCCGUAGCUGGUCUGAGAGGACGACCAGCCACACUGGGACUGAGACACGGCCCAGACUCCUACGGGAGGCAGCAGUGGGGAAUUUUGGACAAUGGGGGCAACCCUGAUCCAGCCAUGCCGCGUGCGGGAAGAAGGCCUUCGGGUUGUAAACCGCUUUUGUUCAGGAAGAAAUCCUCUGGGCUAAUACCCCGGGGGGAUGACGGUACCGGAAGAAUAAGCACCGGCUAACUACGUG